GUAAACUUCUAAAGAAUGGUCUAACCAAGAACAGACCUGCCUCUCAUUGUGUGUGGGUAUAUGAAUCAGAACGGAGGAGGAGCCAGGAUGCUUAGAUUCUCCAGAGGCUGGAGCUUUUCUAUGGAAUGUUGAGAAAAAAUUGAAAGUUAGAAAGCUAGAUGUGACUAGUUUUGCCAUCAUCUUGACGGUCUGGGUCAGAGGAAAAAUCAAGAAUGAAAAGCAUCUUUCUGCAUGACAGUUGGCUUUAAAUCUGACAGCUUCCCUCUUUCAGUUUCAGAUGCCUGAUUUCCUACUCAAAAUGAGGUCGUGGACAGCCUAGACCUACGAUGGGGUCUGAGGAUCUUCUCCUGGAAGUCCCAUGAACUACAUAGUGGCGGUUCCCCUGGCCAGAGAAUUCAUCUCCAAGUGGCCAAUCCAAAUUCUCUAUUCCUAUUCACCAAUGUCAGGAGAUCCACAGGAAUGCUUCCUCAGAAUUGCACUGGUCUCCUCUGGAUUACACCUGUUUAACAUCUUGCAGUGGGCAUCAUGCUACCUGUUAACACAGCUCAAUGCUCAUGAAGCAGCUUCAAAUAUCAUUUGGAAAUGUUUAACAAAAUAAACAGAAAUGCAAUAAAACA
rnacentral:lncRNA from 1 species